rnacentral:rRNA from 1 species
UACGAAGGGGCUAGCGUUGUUCGGAAUCACUGGGCGUAAAGGGCGCGUAGGCGGCGUUUUAAGUCGGGGGUGAAAGCCUGUGGCUCAACCACAGAAUGGCCUUCGAUACUGGGACGCUUGAGUAUGGUAGAGGUUGGUGGAACUGCGAGUGUAGAGGUGAAAUUCGUAGAUAUUCGCAAGAACACCGGUGGCGAAGGCGGCCAACUGGACCAUUACUG